rnacentral:rRNA from 1 species
CCUACGGGUGGCAGCAGUAGGGAAUUUUCGUCAAUGGGCGCAAGCCUGAACGAGCAAUGCCGCGUGAACGAGGAAGGUCUUCGGAUCGUAAAGUUAUGUUGAAGGGGAAAAAGAGCGGAGAGAGGAAAUGCUUUCUGAUUGAUAUUACCCUUCGAGGCAGUCACGGCUAACUACGUGCCAGCAGCCGCGGUAAGACGUAGGUGGCGCGUGUUAUCCGGAUUGAUUGGGCGUAAGGGGUGCGUAGGCGGCCUGCUAAGUUUGGAGUGAAAGGUACCGGCUCAACCGGUACAGGCUCUGGAUACUGGCGGGCUAGAGAGCAGGAGAGGGCGGUGGAACUCCAGGUGUAGCGGUAAAAUGCGUAGAUAGAGGGAAGAACACCAGUGGCGAAGGCGGCCGCCUGGCCUGUGACUGACGCUGAGGCACGAAAGCGUGGGGAGCAAAUAGGAUUAGAUACCCUAGUAGUC